rnacentral:rRNA from 1 species
AGAGGUGGCAAGCGUUGUUCGGAAUUAUUGGGCGUAAAGAGCACGUAGGUGGAUUUGUUAGUCAGAUGUGAAAGCCUUCUGUUCAACGGAAGAAUUGCAUCUGAAACUACAAACCUUGAGUAUAGGAGGGGAGAGUGGAACUUCUGGUGGAGCGGUGAAAUGCGUAGAUAUCAGAAGGAACGCCGGCGGCGAAAGCGACUCUCUGGCCUAUUACUGACACUGAGUGUGCGAAAGCUAGGGGGGGAGCAAACGGGAUUAGAUACCCCGGUAGUCCUAGCCGUAAACGAUGGGCACUAAGUAGGGGGGAGCUACCGAUGUUCUCUCUGCCGUAGCAAACGCAUUAAGUGCCCCCCGCCUGGGAGUACGGCCGCAGGGCUA